AGGUAUCCAUUUCAUUCCAAAUCGUUUUCGUUCUGUGGAUGAACCCUAGGCGUCUUGGCGGCGCAGGGGGAAGAGGAGGACGAGCCGACCGGACGGGGGACGAGGCGCCGCCCGGCCUUGGUGUGCAUCCCCCAGGCGGAUGCGCGCAUCUGGAGCCGAUUGAGGAGGGGGACGAGCAGACGCGCGGGAGCUAGCCCCCCACGCCCCCGACGGAUGAGCGCAGGAGGUGCCGACCGGGUAGGGAGAGGUGGCGUCGGCGGGCCGUGGCGUCGCCGAUUGAGGAGGGGGACGAGGAUACGCGCGGCAGUGGCGUCCACCCUCCCUGGUGCUUCCUCGCCCUUCUCCCUGGCCUCUCCGACGUCUGCCUACCUCGCUACCGUCUGCCCUAGCUUCUUCGGCGACUGAAGAAGGCGACCGACGGCGGCGCUCCGUCUCGUGUGGCACGGCCGUGGCGUCGGCGGUCGUCUCCCUGCAGGCGGCGGCGUGGCUCGGCCGUUGGCUCCCUCAGGCGGCGAUGUGGGCCUAAGGUAAGAGCGACCGGCCGCAACCAGCCGUUGACUCCCUCGACGGAUGCGCCCGGGCGGCGGGAGUGGGGGUUGGCUCCGACGCGGGGGAAGGGAGGAGCGUCCGUGCAGCAAGGUGGUUGGCUUCCUUGACGGAUGCACGUUCUUCCAGCAGUAGGAUCAUCGAGAUGUUCAGCAUGGCGGUUGUAGUUUAUCAAUUCUGGAGGACCUUCUCAACCAAUAUGCUGAAGAGACGCUAAACUACUGCCCUGCGGCUUCGAACUGAUGCAUUGGAUUCCAUCAGGGAACCUUGUGAAGGACAAGAAGGAACAACAAAUUUUACAACUAGAGAACAAACUUGAUUUUGCAUGCUCACAAUCGCAUGACUACAAGGAGAAGAACAAAGCUCAUAACAGGGCAAAUGCCAAAAUACUUGAAGACGAGAAAUGCAAAUUUAGGAAAUAUUGUACACUUUUCUGGUUAAUGUUUAUAUUAUACCUAGCUAGAUAAUGAUUCCCACCAUGUAGAGUAACAUUCAUCGAUGGAUUAUCUAAGGUGAACUUUUAUCA